UAGGAAGAGGUGUGAGGAGCACUAAAGGUUUUGAGCCUUUCGGCCGGGGUUCAGAGCCUCGCUUCCUAA
rnacentral:tRNA from 1 species